AGCAGCCGCGGUAAUUCCAGCUCCAAUAGCGUAUAUUAAAGUUGUUGCAGUUAAAAAGCUCGUAGUUGAAUUUCGGGAUCAAUAUUUCGGUCAUGCCGUUGGUAUGCACUGUUAUCAUUGAUUUCUCACCUUCUAAAGAACCGUAAUGCCAUUAAUUUGGUGUUACGGGGAAUUAGGACUGUUACCUUGAAGAAAUUAGAGUGUUUAAAGCAGGCUCACGCUUGAAUACAUUAGCAUGGAAUAAUGAAAUAGGACAUCCGAUUCUAUUUUGUUGGUUUCUAGGAUCGAUGUAAUGAUUAAUAGGGAUAGUUGGGGGCAUUAGUAUUCAAUUGUCAGAGGUGAAAUUCUUGGAUUUAUUGAAGACUAACUACUGCGAAAGCAUUUGCCAAGGAUGUUUUCAUUAAUCAAGAACGAAAGUUAGGGGAUCGAAGACGAUCAGAUACCGUCGUAGUCUUAACCAUAAACUAUGCCGACUAGGGAUCGGAUGAUGUUAAUUUUUAAUGACUCAUUC
rnacentral:sRNA from 1 species